rnacentral:rRNA from 1 species
UACAGAGGUCUCAAGCGUUGUUCGGAUUCAUUGGGCGUAAAGGGUGCGCAGGUGGCGCGGCAAGUCGGAUGUGAAAUCCCAUCGCUCAACGAUGGACCUGCCUUUGAUACUGUUGGUCUUGAAUUAGGGAGAGAUUCGUGGAAUUCCGAGUGUAGCAGUGAAAUGUGUAGAUAUUCGGAAGAACACCAGUGGCGAAGGCAGCGAAUUGGCCCUAUAUUGACGCUCAGGCACGAAAGCAUGGGGAUCAAACAGG